rnacentral:rRNA from 1 species
AGCUUAUCAGCUAGUCCCUCUAACCAAAAACAAAACCCCUUCCCACAUUAAUAUUUCACUUAAUACCCCCUAAUACACGUAAUUAUACUAAACAAAACAUUUUUCCCCUUAAGUAUAGGAGAUAGAAAAAGAACCCUGGAACGACAGAAAAAGUACCGCAAGGGAAUGCUGAAAGACACAUGAAAUAGGAUCGCAAGCCCAGAAAAGCAGAGAUUUAAGCUCGUACCUUUUGCAUCAUGAUUUGGCUAGAAAGCUCCGAGCAAAGAGCACUUUAGUUCGACUUCCCGAAACUAAGUGAGCUACUCCAAGACAGCCUAUUAAAGGGCAAACCCGUCUCUGUUGCAAAAGAGUGGGAAGAGCUUCGAGUAGCGGUGACAGACCAAUCGAACUUAGUUAUAGCUGGUUGCCUGAGAAUUGAAUAGGAGUUCAGCCUUUUGGCUUCUUCACUCCCGCUCCCCCCGGACGCCUAAAGAAACCAAAAGAGUUAGUCAAAGGGGGUACAGCCCCUUUGAUAUAAGAUACAACUUUACUCAGGAGGAUAAAGAUCAUAAUUAAAUAAGGCAAAGAGUUUUGGUGGGCCUAAGAGCAGCCAUCCCUUUAGAAAGCGUUAAAGCUCAAACUCAUCUCCCCGCCCCCUAUUCUGACAAUUUAAUCUUAAUCCCCUAAAACUACCAGGCCUCUCCAUGCAACCAUGGAAGAGAUUAUGCUAAAAUGAGUAAUAAGAAAGCAAUCCGGCUUUCUCCUACCACAAGUGUAAAUCGAACCGGACUCACCACCGAAUAUUAACGGUCCCAAGCAAAGAGGGUAUUGGAUAAUUACCUUAAUCACCUAGAAAAACCCCCAAUAUAAACCGUUACCCCUACACUGGUGUGGCUUCAAGGAAAGACUAAAAGAAAGAGAAGGAACUCGGCAAAUAAAAGCCUCGCCUGUUUACCAAAAACACCGCCUCUUGCAAAAUUAAUGAAUAAGAGGUCCCGCCUGCCCUGUGACUAUAUGUUUAACGGCCGCGGUAUUUUGACCGUGCGAAGGUAGCGCAAUCACUUGUCUUUUAAAUGAAGACCCGUAUGAAUGGCACAACGAGGGCUUAACUGUCUCCUCUUUCCAGUCAAUGAAAUUGAUCUUCCCGUGCAGAAGCGAGAAUAAUAACAUAAGACGAGAAGACCCUAUGGAGCUUUAGAUAUAAAGCAGACCAUGUUAAAUACCCUAAAAUAAUAGACUAAACUCGAUGGUUCCUGCCCUAAUGUCUUUGGUUGGGGCGACCGCGGCGAAAUAAAUAACCCCCGCGAAGAAAGAGGGUUCUUCCCUCCAAACCAAGAGCUACCGCUCUAAUGAACAGAAUAUCUGACUAUAUAAGAUCCGGCAUUGCCGAUCAACGGACCGAGUUACCCUAGGGAUAACAGCGCAAUCCCCUUCUAGAGCCCAUAUCGACAAGGGGGCUUACGACCUCGAUGUUGGAUCAGGACAUCCUAAUGGUGCAGCCGCUAUUAAGGGUUCGUUUGUUCAACGAUUAAAGUCCUACGUGAUCUGAGUUCAGACCGGAGUAAUCCAGGUCAGUUUCUAUCUAUGAUAUACUUUUUUCUAGUACGAAAGGACCGAAAAAAGGAGGCCCCUGCUUCCGGUAUGCCUCUCCCUCACCUAAUGAAAACAACUAAAAUAGGUAAAGGGGUAUAGCCUUAAUAACUAAGACAAUGUUAU